GGAAGGGUCGCAUAGUGGCCUAGUGCGGAGGUCUUGAAAACCUCUGUCUCGCCUUAGCGGGACCGUGGGUUCGAAUCCCACCCCUUCCG
rnacentral:tRNA from 10 species